CCAAUAGCGUAUAUUAAAGUUGUUGCCGUUAAAAAGCUCGUAGUUGAACUUCGGGGUUUACUCAUUGGUCAGGCUUAAUUGUCUGUACUGGUGAGAUGAAUCUCUACCUUCUGAGGAACUUUCAUGCCAUUUAUUUGGUGUGAUGGGAAAUCAGGACUGUUACUUUGAAAAAAUUAGAGUGUUUAAAGCAGGCUAACGUCUGAAUACAUUAGCAUGGAAUAAUGAAAUAGGACGGACUGAUUCUAUUUCGUUGGUUUCUAGGAUCACCGUAAUGAUUAAUAGGGAUAGUUGGGGGCAUUAGUAUUCAAUUGUCAGAGGUGAAAUUCUUUGAUUUAUUGAAGACUAACUACUGCGAAAGCAUUUGCCAAGGAUGUUUUCAUUAAUCAAGAACGAAAGUUAGGGGAUCGAAGACGAUCAGAUACCGUCGUAGUCUUAACCAUAAACUAUGCCGACUAGGGAUCGGACGAAGUUAAUUUUAUAAUGACGCGUUCGGCACCUUACG
rnacentral:rRNA from 1 species